ensembl:lncRNA
AAUAAAUAAUAAAAACCUUUAGGGUUGAAUUAAUACCAAGCAAAAAAUUGAAAUUAUUAUUGAUUAUUAUUAUUAUUAUUAUUAUUAUUAUUAUUAUUAUUAUUAUUAUUAUUAUUAUUAUUAUUAUUAUACAUUUUCCAAAGCACAUUUUCUUUAUUGGAAAGCUAAAAUCUGCUUGGUUUUUGAAAAGCUUUAUGUAAUUUCCAGACUUUUUUAUUUUUAUUUUUAUUUUUAUUUUUUAUACAUGACAACCUUCCAAAUGGAUGUUUUAAAAAAUAAAUCUUUUUGUAAAAAAAUAUUUUCCAAACGGCAUUUCCUUUUUUUAAAAAAGCUAAAAAGUUGAUGAAAUUUCAGAACUUUUACAUCCAUGACAAGCUUCCAAAACACAACAUUUGAAAUACACAAUAUUUAAAAAAAGUGUUUUCCUUCUUUCUUUCUUUUCUUCUUUUUUUUUUUUUUUUUUUACUUUCCAUCGAGGAUUUCUAAAGUGAAAAUUGUCCCUGUUUUUUAAAAAGUUGCUAUAAAUUCAGGACUCUUGCAUACAUGACAAACUAUAUUUGAAUAAUCGAUGCUUUGUAUUUAUUUUGUGUGUAGGAGCCAAGCUUUGUUUCAACUGUAUAAAACCCUGCAAAGUGACAUAUUCAUAUAAAAUACCUGCGAUGAUCAUAUGAACAGUGUAUAAAGUAUUGCAUUCGUUUUUUUUUUUUUCCUUGUCUGUGAUAAUGUGUUUUGGAGCUGAGAUGGGCGGACCAUCUGAGGCAGCCUGGCUUUUAACGCCUUAAAUAAAUCCUAUUUACCUGUCAGGGACAUGGACAAAUUCAUAAAUCACCAUGGCAGCCGGUAAAACGAGGAAGCUGGCAAACGUGAGUGUGUACAGGAGGCAGUGUGGCCCGAGGCAGAGGCGCACACACACACACCACCCUGCUGACUGACAAUCCACUAAACUGAGAUAUGCGCAGCACGUUUCCAGCUCCAAGCUCAUUUCUGCCUUUUGUAAAAAAAAAAAAAUAUAUAUAUAUAUAUAUAUAUAUAUAUAUAUAUAUAUAUAUAUAUAUAUAUAUAUAUAUAUAUAUAUAUAUAUAUUGUAAAGCUCAUGCUGUUGUUGUUUUUCUUUGUUGUUGUUUUUUUUUUACAGUUUGCUUGAAAAAAAAAUCUACAUUACUAUGCUAUGAAAUAUAGUUUGAUAGAAAAUCUGCAAGUGUUUGUGCAUAUGCAACUGAUUUUACGUUUCAUUUUUGGGAAAAUCGACUAUAAAUAUUUGCUAAGAAUUGUAUUUUCCCCCCACCUCACCGAAACUGUAAUUUCUACCUUGAGUGGUUAUUUUUUUAUUUUUAUUUUUUUGCCUAUUUAAUGACAUUUAAUAAAGACAAUACUCAUUUACAUCAGGGUCAAAGGUCACUCAGAAGAGGUAUGUUAUGUUUUAAAUGUAUGUGGGGUCCAUUUUAACUUUCGUUUGACCAAUUCUUUAUUGGUAAUGAUUCCUUGUAAGCAGUUUUAUAAAAUCUAAAAUAAUGCCUCGUAACGUUUAAUGAUGUAUUAUGUUGUACAUCAAGUGUCAUAAGUCUCACUGAAGUGCCAAACUUUAUAACUAUUAAUGUAAAUAAACGCUGCGAAU